UACUAUGCCUGGCUAAUUUUUGCUAUCAGAAAUGCCUCUUAUUAAAGAUCUGUUUUCCUGCAUCAUACAUAGAGGCCUAGCCCAUCCGUUAUGCCACCUCCUGGAAUGGGACACAGCUGUUUAAUUGAGCUGAUCUAUCCUCAGAACUAAGAGACUGACUAAAGAAGAUAUGGAAUUCUAUAUUUAACUUUGCUCUUUUCUGCUUAUCCCAAUUGUUUUUUCCACUUUUCUUCUAUAUCUAACAACCUCUAACCAAAGUCUCUCCAAAGCAAUCAGCUUGGCCUUUAAAAUGUGAAAUUUUAAAGUUUCAAAGUGGGGACUAAAGGAUAUCAAAAUAUUUUAUCCCCCAAAAUAUAUUUCUUUGACAUAUUUUGAGAUGGCUGUCAGAGAGCUAGCAUACAGAAGUAGCCCUGCAAAGUUAUAUCUUGUGGGGGAAAUUUGCAUCUGUAGAAAAUCUGCAUUGAUGAAGCCAGGCCUUCCCUUGUCUAGAUCUGGGAAAGAUUAACUGAGAGUCUGAAACACCUUUAAAGGUCUGAAAGAAACAUUUGCCAUCUAUUCUCUAACAGGACUGCUACCUGUGAAGUUUCAACUAUGUAAUGAGAACACCUUUGCUAGCCAAGCCUCCUCUUUUCUCCCUUUGGUAAUCUGUUUUGCCACAGCCGAAGCCCUCAUUCUUUUUGUAACCUCAAGAUGGCAUUUAAGCUUCUGCAUUCCAUUGCGGGGUUGGGUAAUCACUCAGUAAUGUUCCCCAUGUGUAUGCUAAUAAAAUGUGUAUGCUUUUUCUCCAAUUAAUCUGC
rnacentral:lncRNA from 10 species